CACGCCCUAAACGAUGAUAACUCGUUGUUGGCGAUAAACCGUCCAGCGACUAAGCGAAAGCAUUAAGUUAUCCACCUGGGGAGUACGACCGCAAGGUUGAAACUCAAAGGAAUUGACGGGGGCCCGCACAAGCGGAGGAGCAUGUGGUUUAAUUCGAUGAUACGCGAGGAACCUUACCCGGGCUUGAAAGUUAAGGAAUGAUGUGGAAAUAUGUCAGUCAGCAAUGACCUGAAACUAGGUGC
rnacentral:rRNA from 1 species